rnacentral:lncRNA from 1 species
AGAUGUCACAGUUCAUUUUCUCUUCUUUUGUUAGAAAUAAUCCUUGAUUUUGAAUCUAAAAAUUGGAGAACCUGAAGCCUUGAUUUUGGACCUGAAGCCUUGAUUUUCAACCUAAAGAUUGGAGCAACGGGAAGAGAUUCAACUACGCGUCCCUUCUCACGAACCCUUUCACUCUCGUUGUCUCUCCUUAUCUUAGAUUCCCACCAGUUACACAACCAAAACUGUCAUCCAACACCUACGAGGCUACAAGAUGCCUGGCUCCGACGGAGUAAUCACCUUCCCAAAUUCAAGUUCAAGGAGUGGCCGAAGCCCUCUUUUUGCUCAUUAAUUGUUGCCAGUGGGCUCGAAAUUGCUGCCCGAGUAUUUUGGGGCUGAGGAACUCUAUAAUGCAGAGCUUUCGGUCUCCAUUUUGCUAGGCGGAAGAGCUUCAGCGUGUAAAGCUUGCUGAUCCGGCUAAAGAAGUUGACAUAAGCACUUUGAUAUAUCAAAGCG